rnacentral:rRNA from 1 species
CCUACGGGAGGCAGCAGUAGGGAAUCUUCCACAAUGGACGAAAGUCUGAUGGAGCAACGCCGCGUGAGCGAUGAAGGCCUUCGGGUCGUAAAGCUCUGUUGUUAGGGAAGAACAAGUAUCGGAGUAACUGCCGGUACCUUGACGGUACCUAACCAGAAAGCCACGGCUAACUACGUGCCAGCAGCCGCGGUAAUACGUAGGUGGCAAGCGUUGUCCGGAAUUAUUGGGCGUAAAGCGCGCGCAGGCGGUCCUUUAAGUCUGAUGUGAAAGCCCACGGCUCAACCGUGGAGGGUCAUUGGAAACUGGGGGACUUGAGUGCAGAAGAGGAAAGUGGAAUUCCAAGUGUAGCGGUGAAAUGCGUAGAGAUUUGGAGGAACACCAGUGGCGAAGGCGACUUUCUGGUCUGUAACUGACGCUGAGGCGCGAAAGCGUGGGGAGCAAACAGGAUUAGAUACCCUGGUAGUCCACGCCGUAAACGAUGAGUGCUAAGUGUUAGGGGGUUUCCGCCCCUUAGUGCUGCAGCUAACGCAUUAAGCACUCCGCCUGGGGAGUACGGUCGCAAGACUGAAACUCAAAGGAAUUGACGG